GAUGAACGCUGGCGGCGUGCCUAAUACAUGCAAGUCGAGCGAACGGACGACAAGCUUGCUUUUCUGAUGUUAGCGGCGGACGGGUGAGUAACACGUGGAUAACCUACCUAUAAGACUGGGAUAACUUCGGGAAACCGGAGCUAAUACCGGAUAAUAUUUUGAACCGCAUGGUUCAAAAGUGAAAGACGGUCUUGCUGUCACUUAUAGAUGGAUCCGCGCUGCAUUAGCUAGUUGGUAAGGUAACGGCUUACCAAGGCAACGAUGCAUAGCCGACCUGAGAGGGUGAUCGGCCACAAUGGAACUGAGACACGGUCCAGACUCCUACGGGAGGCAGCAGUAGGGAAUCUUCCGCAAUGGGCGAAAGCCUGACGGAGCAAAGCCGCGUGAGUGAUGAAGGUCUUCGGAUCGUAAAACUCUGUUAUUAGGGAAGAACAUAUGUGUAAGUAACUGUGCACAUCUUGACGGUACCUAAUCAGAAAGCCACGGCUAACUACGUG
rnacentral:rRNA from 1 species